GAUCCGUUAGCUCAGCUGGUAGAGCACAACACUUUUAAUGUUGGGGCCCUGGGUUCAAGUCCCAGACGGAUCA
rnacentral:tRNA from 1 species